rnacentral:rRNA from 1 species
CUCCGGGAAACCGGGGCUAAUACCGGAUAAUCCCGACUCUCUCCUGAGAGUCGGUUGAAAGAUGGUUUCGGCUAUCACUUACGGAUGAGCCCGCGGCGCAUUAGCUAGUUGGUGAGGUAACGGCUCACCAAGGCGACGAUGCGUAGCCGACCUGAGAGGGUGAUCGGCCACACUGGGACUGAGACACGGCCCAGACUCCUACGGGAGGCAGCAGUAGGGAAUCUUCCGCAAUGGACGAAAGUCUGACGGAGCAACGCCGCGUGAGUGAAGAAGGUUUUCGGAUCGUAAAACUCUGUUGUUAGGGAAGAACACGUACGAGAGUAACUGCUCGUACCUUGACGGUACCUAACCAGAAAGCCACGGCUAACUACGUGCCAGCAGCCGCGGUAAUACGUAGGUGGCAAGCGUUGUCCGGAAUUAUUGGGCGUAAAGCGCGCGCAGGUGGUUCCUUAAGUCUGAUGUGAAAGCCCCCGGCUCAACCGGGGAGGGUCAUUGGAAACUGGGGAACUUGAGUGCAGGAGAGGAAAGUGAAUUCCACGUGUAGCGGUGAAAUGCGUAGAUAUGUGGAGGAACACCAGUGGC